rnacentral:rRNA from 1 species
UCCCGCAACGAGCGCAACCCUUGUCCCUAGCUGCUACGCAAGGACACUCUAGGGAGACUGCCGGUGACAAACUGGAGGAAGGUGGGGAUGACGUCAAGUCCUCAUGGCCCUUAUGGGUAGGGCUUCACACGUCAUACAAUGGCCGGUACAGAGGGUUGCCAAAGCGCGAGCUGGAGCCAAUCCCAGAAAGCCGGUCGUAGUCCGGAUUGCAGUCUGCAACUCGACUGCAUGAAGUCGGAAUCGCUAGUAAUCGCGGAUCAGCAUGCCGCGGUGAAUACGUUCCCGGGUCUUGUACACACCGCCCGUCACACCAUGGGAGUGGGGUGAACCAGAAGUAGGUAGGCUAACCGCAAGGGGGCCGCUUACCACGGUCUGCUUCAUGACUGGGGUGAAGUCGUAACAAGGUAGCCGUAUCGGAAGGUGCGGCUGGAUCAAAAGGGA